rnacentral:lncRNA from 12 species
GGACUAACUCUUCACCUUGCAGCCGCUGCAGCACAAGCCUUAAGUCCAUAUCUUUAUUUUUUCAUGGUUUCCCCUCAGGGCCUCUUUAGAGAGGCAGCAGAAGAGUCACUUCCCCGCUGGUGCAGUUGGCACGGCUGCAAGUGUACUUAAAGUUUGUGUCUGAUCAGGUUAUGUGGAUUGGAUCUGAAACCAGUUAGUCAAUCCUGGCCGGUCCCUGAGAGGCGAUUUGUGGUAAUGUCUCCAUCAAUACUCACCGAGCUGCAGCUGCUUUACGUAAAGCAAAUGGCUGCACACGAGGGGCUGGGCUGCAGCAGGAGAGGGAGGCUGCAGCACAGGGCUGCUGCUGGGGGCCAGCCUUCACCUCCUCCUCCUCAUCCUCCUCAUCAUCCUCAUCAUCCUUCACCUGCCUCAUCCUCAUCAUCCUCAUCAUCCUUCACCUGCCUCAUCCUCAUCCUCCUCAUCCUCCUUCAUCAUCCUUCACCUGCCUCAUCCUCAUCCUCCUCAUCCUCCUCAUCCUCCUCAUCAUCCUUCAUCAUCCUUAUCCUCCUCAUCCUCUUCAUCCUCCUUCAUCAUCUUUCACCUGCCUCUUCCUCAUCCUCCUCACCCUCUUCAUCAUCCUUCACCUGCCUCAUCCUCCUUCAUCAUCCUUCACCUGCCUCAUCCUCAUCCUCCUCAUCCUCCUUCAUCAUCCUUCACCUGCUUCAUCCUUAUCCUCCUCAUCCUCUUCAUCCUCCUCCAUCAUCCUUCAUCAUCCUUCAUCAUCCAUCAUCCUUCACCUGCUUCAUCCUCAUCCUCCUCAUCCUUCUUCAUCCUCCUUCACCUGCUUCAUCAUCCUUCAUCCUCCUUCACCACCUCCAUCCUCCUAUACCCUCCUUCCUCAUCCUCAUCCUCCUCAUCCUCCUUCCCCCUCCUUGCCCCGCACACAGCCCAGGGCACUGCCCCAUGCCCAGGUACCCGGGCAGGCUCUGCUCAGUGCCCCCGUGGCACCAGCCAGACCCAGCUGCGCUCUCUUCAUCCCAAACACUCCUUCUCCCUUUGCAGCACCAGUCCUGAUCCCCCCUCCUGCAUUCCCUCGCUCCCUGGGCUCCAGAGGGUGCAUACAGGGCACAAAUUAGAAACAGCAGAAGGUCAAGAACACAAACCAACCAACCAACAACCUCGCACUAAAGCAAAGUGUAACAGAAAAUUAGAGAAGGAUAAAAGAUGUUAUAGCAUGAGAAAAUUAUGAUUAAUGAAAAAGCAGGAGGUGGCUGCUGUUCAA